AGAGUUUGAUCAUGGCUCAGAACGAACGCUGGCGGCAGGCUUAACACAUGCAAGUCGAGCGCCUCGCAAGAGGAGCGGCAGACGGGUGAGUAACGCGUGGGAAUCUACCUUUUGCUACGGAAUAACUCAGGGAAACUUGUGCUAAUACCGUAUGUGCCCUUCGGGGGAAAGAUUUAUCGGCAAAGGAUGAGCCCGCGUUGGAUUAGGUAGUUGGUGGGGUAAUGGCCUACCAAGCCGACGAUCCAUAGCUGGUCUGAGAGGAUGAUCAGCCACAUUGGGACUGAGACACGGCCCAAACUCCUACGGGAGGCAGCAGUGGGGAAUAUUGGACAAUGGGCGCAAGCCUGAUCCAGCCAUGCCGCGUGAGUGAUGAAGGCCCUAGGGUUGUAAAGCUCUUUCACCGGUGAAGAUAAUGACGGUAACCGGAGAAGAAGCCCCGGCUAACUUCGUGCCAGCAGCGGCGGUAAUAC
rnacentral:rRNA from 1 species